AUAAUUGUAUCUUUGCUCUAGAAAUUUUUCUUUACAAUCAGACUGCUUCAAAUUACGUUUUCCAAUUCGUUAAUCGUUGAAUCGAGCUUAAAUUUGAAGUGGAAAUUCUCAACAUUCUAUUCUUCAAUUUGAACGAUGAAGAUCAGAUUUUGAGGAGAACAAGCUCAACAAGUAUUUGAAGCAUUGAAGUUGGCGAUCACUCAAGUGUCUGCUUAGCGAUGCCGGACUUUUCUCAGCCAUUUAUAAUUAAAACUGACCAAAAAACGCUUAAAUUUUUGCUGGAAUGGAGAGUUAUGGGUGAGAAUCAACAGAAAUGGGUUUCCAAACUCAUGGGUUAUAAGUUUGAGAUCAAGUACAAAUCGGGUACUGAAAAUAGAGUAGUUGAUGCGCUGUCAAGAAGCGGGGAAUCUGCAGAGUUAUAUGCAUUUUCAACUUGGAAAUAUCAUGACAAGGAGAAAUGAGACCAAGAAAUACAACGAGACACCAAAAUGGCUUCUAUUUUGCAAAAGCUAAUUUCAAGAUUACUAGUAGAUGACAACUACAACUUGAAGAAUGGAUGUCUACUAUUCAAAGAACGCUUGGUUUUGCCAAAAGGAUCAUCUCGAAUACCUGGGCCAUUGAAAGAGUUCUAUUCCUCUCCUAUAAGAGGCCAUUCAGGGUAUCUUCGCACAUAUAAAAGGCUGUCCGAGAAUAUCUAUUGGGAAAGAGGGAUGUAUUGCCAGGUGUGAAAUUAGUCAAAAGAACAAGUGUCAAACUUUGAGUCCCGUGGGGUUACUCCACCCGUUACCUAUACCUCAUCAUGUAUAAGAGGAUGUAAAUAUGAACUUCAUUACUAGCCUUAUUCCUAAAUCCAAUAGGUUUGAUACUAUAUUGGCUGUGGUGGAUUGUCUUACUAAGUACGCACAUUUUAUUCCACUUUCAUACCCUUUUAAUGCUAAAAAUGUGGCUGAUGUUUUCAUUAAGGAAGUGGUUAAAUUACAUGGAUUUCCUAAAUCUAUUGUGUCUGAUCGUGACUGUGUGUUCAUAAGCCAAUUUUGGAGGGAAUUGUUCAAAAUAACAGGUACUACCUUAUCUUUAUAACUCUUCCUACUAUCUGGAGACCGAUGGACAAACAAAAGUGGUGAAUAGGAGUUUGGAGACAUAUCUUCGUUGCAUGGCAGGAGAAAAUCCUAAGCAAUGGUCUCACUGGUUAUCUUGGGUUGAGUAUUGGUUUAAUACAUCCUUUAACUGAUCUGCAGGUAUGACACCCUUUAAAGCAUUAUAUGGGAGGGAUCCACCAUCAAGUUUUGACAUGGAUGACAACGCAAUGGAAGAUGUGAAUAAGUAGGUGCACACUAAAAAUCUGAUCUUGACCAAACUCAAAUAUCAUCUGGUACAAGCACAACAAAGAAUGAAGAAUCAAGCUGAUCGACAUCAUAGAGAAGUGAUUUUUGAGAUUGGUGAAAUGGUAUAUCUCAAACUUCGGCCCUACAAACUACAUUCUUUAGCUAAGAAGAUUAAUGAAAAACUCAGUCCCAGCUUUUAUGGCCUUUCAAGAUUCCGAAAAAGCUUGGUCCCGUAGCUUAUCAGUUGGAGUUGCCCGUUGGAACACGCAUUCAUUCAAUGUUUCAUAUUUCAAAAUUGAGAAAAUGCUUGCUACUAACUACUACUGCUCAAAACCUACCUCUAUUUCUUACGCAAGAUUUGGAGCUUCAAGUUGAGCCUAAAGUAGUAAGGCAGACCAGGAAGCUAAUCAAUGGUAAGUGGGAAGUUUUAAUCAAGUGGAAGAACCUGGCAGAAUUUGAGAAUACUUAGGAGGACUAUGCUAUCAUCGAUCUACAAUUUCCUGACUUUUACCUUGAGGAAAGGGUGACUCUUAUAGGGGAGGGUAAUGAUGAGCCUCAGGUUAUAAAAACUUAUUCUAGGAGGCCAAAAUAAACAAUUGAAAAACUUAGUUACUCAUGUACUAGGGUGAUUUUUCUGGAGAAAAAGGGGCAGGACAGCUUCAAAAAGAUAUUCAGAGAAGUAUUUUCAGAAAAAAGGGAAUCAUUUAGGAGAGUCUAGCCUCUCGAAUGUCUAUAAGUAUCAAAUCUGUGUAAUCUCAUUAUUAUGCACUGUAUAACUGAAUUUUAGGUUGUAAUUUAAGGUCUUAGCAGUGUUUGAGUGGUGA